UCAUGAGCAUCUUUCCAUGUCAGUGUAUAUAUACGAUUUACCUGAUUCUUUCUGACUGUAGGGUAUUCCAUUUAUGGAUGCCAAAUGUAAUCAUUGAUGACAAUAUGGAAUGAAUGGCAUGAAGGCCAGCACUCCAGUGUUCGCUCCAAACCUCAGGCAUAAUAACCACAUGUCAUACAGAUGUACAGCCUCGGCCAGAGCUGGUAUCAGGCUGACGCCAGACCAUUUGCAGUAAUUUCGGCUGUUUUGUGGCUGUUGGUCAUGUCUUCAUUUCCUGAACUCCUCCUUUUGUCUUCAGCCUCCAGUGGGAAGCUGAGAAAUUGGUACCAGCGACGUGGAUCUGGUACCCUGCAAAAAAAGGAAAUGGUGCAAACACUUUCAGCCUCUACACAGAUUCCAAGAUAAAGCCUGUCCACAAAAUCAGCCAUAAAUCUCCCUGUGCCAAUCCAGCUAGAACCAUCCGGUGAGCAAACAAGACCGUCAUCAUCAUCACCUGUGUUUGUGAGCAUCCUAGCUCUGCCCUGUUCCCAGCAUUUUUCAACUAUGUCCUCUAGAGAGA